GCUAGGAGCCAAGUCUUUAAUUCACAGAAUACUUGAUCCAAAUCCAAAAACUGUAUCAAAUAAGAAAAUGGUUCAGUAUAGCUGUUGUUUGGAGAAGACUCUUAUUUUUUGAGAAAUGGAGAAAGGAUCCUUUUGUACAUCUCUUCUAGCCACUUUCUAACAUGCUAAAUUAUCUGCAUAGGAAUGGAAUGGCACAGACCGACCUUAGACUGCAGAAUGUUCAUGUAAGCCCAUGUACGCCCACAACACAAGCCUGUAAAGUGUUGGAGGAGAGCUCCAGGAUGUAGUGUGCAGUCAUGGGACCAUUUUGGCGAUGUUUCCACCAGCAUCUUCAACUCUGCAUGCUGAAGUGUUUGCCCUCCAGCUUUACUGUUAUUUUUGCUUCACUACUACAGGUUUAAGACCCAAAGCUUCUUCACUGACUGCACAAUAUUAAAUAAGUCAGCGGCAGCAAAGGACAUACUCUCUGCCCCGGAACAUUAGGAAAUUAGGCCUCAACAUGCGGCAAGCUUCUUCCAGGUCCCAGAACCUCAUGAAGCUAAAUUACUAGC